rnacentral:rRNA from 1 species
CCCGGGCCUUGUACACACCGCCCGUCACACCACGAAAGCUGCCUGAACCAGAAGUCGGUGACCCAACCCGCAAGGGAGGGAUCCGCCCAAGGUUUUGGUAGUGAUUGGGGUG